rnacentral:rRNA from 1 species
CAAUAGCGUAUAUUAAAGUUGUUGCAGUUAAAACGCUCGUAGUCGGAUUUCGGGGCGGGUCCGCCGGUCUGCCGAUGGGUACGCACUGGCGGGCGCGUCCUUCCUUCCGGAGACUGGCCCUACUCUUAGCUGAGCGGGGUCGGGAGUCGGAUCGUUUACUUUGAAAAAAUCAGAGUGUUUCGAGCAGGCAGCUCGCUCUUGCAUGGAUUAGCAUGGGAUAAUGAAAUAGGACUUUGGUGCUAUUUUGUUGGUUUCGAACACCGAAGUAAUGAUUAACAGGGACAGUCAGGGGCACUCGUAUUCCGCCGAGAGAGGUGAAAUUCUCAGACCAGCGGAAGACGAACCACUGCGAAAGCAUUUGCCAGGGAUGUUUUCACUGA